CUGACAUGUGUUUGUGAGUCAACGGACGAGUAAACCCGUAAGGCGUAAGGAAGCUGAUUGGUGGGAUCCCCCCCAGGGGUACACCGCUGACCGACCUUGAUCUUCUGUUAAGGGUUCGAGUGUGAGCAUACCUGUCGGGACCCGAAAGAUGGUGAACUAUUCCUGAGCGGGGCGAAGCCAGAGGAAACUCUGGUGGAGGCCCGCAGCGAUAGUGACGUACAAAUCAUUCGUCUGACUUGGGUAUAAGGGAGAAAGACUAAUCGAACCGUCUAGUAGCUGG
rnacentral:ncRNA from 1 species